CGAGAUAGUCGGACGGCGGCACGGAAACGUGAGGAAAGUCCGAGCACCGCAGGGCAAGGGUGCAGGUUAACUGCCUGUGAAGGCGACUUCAAGGAAAGUGCAACAGAAAAAAACCGCCCGCAAGGGUAAGGAUGGAAAGGCGAGGUAAGAGCUCACCCGCAAAUCGGCG
rnacentral:RNase_P_RNA from 1 species